rnacentral:lncRNA from 1 species
GCAGCCGCGGGAGCGCCACCGCCAGUGGGGUGGGGGGCAAAGCUAUAAAGAAGGCCCAGAGGAUUCCUGCGGAGCUGUAUUUACUUUACAUCCAUGUGAACUGCUGUCAUCACUACUGUGUCCAAGCCCAGAGGAUGAACUGGAAAAGAAGAGAGGGGGAAAAUAAUAAAAAGAGGAAAUUGGUUUUCACAACACACUCAAAGCCUGAGUAACAGAGGAGAACUUUAAUUAUCUCCAGUCACAAAGAGAGACAGGAAAUUUGGACUUUUAAUUAGCCAUUUGGAGUGCAGUUGGGUAUUUUUUUAGCUAGAUAAUUUAAACGCGAAUAAUUCAAGUCUGACUAAAUGAAAGUCACAUAAUCAGAAUGCAAAUAAUUGAAUUUCUACUGCAUUCAUUAAUUCAGUGUGGAGGUGUGUGUGAAGACUACUAUGAUGAGCUGUCACAGCUCAAUAAAAUCUCAGUCAAUUAAUUUUUUCAUUAUCUUAGUAUUAUAUCAACAAAAAAGUGAAGUGUGUAUAUAUAUCUAUACACGUGCAUAUGUGCAUACUAUGUAUUAUAUAAAUACAUAUACAUUAAAUCAAAAUGCAAGGAAAUACCUUUCUGAAUCAUAAUCUAUAUCAUUUUCUUUUUUUCCUUCUUCAUCUUCUUCAGGGAAACGUCUAUUCAUUAAGGCAAACUUGUGAAUUGCUUCUUCCACAGAGUACUUAGUCUGCCCAGAAACACACGCCUCAAUGUCUUCUGAAUUCAGAUGGCUCUGUAAGAAGAGGUGAAGGCUGCUAUCUGAAAGCAAAAGUGCAUUCUGUAGGACUCUAUAUUAAAAAAAAAAGGAAAAAUAAUUGGUGAACAGGAUGGUCAGUGAUAGGGUAGAAGAAAGAAAAACAUUAGAAAAGUACCACUGAAGAUUAAGAGAAGAGUUAUAGAGCAACAAUCCAUUAAUACGAACUUGGAUCGUG